rnacentral:rRNA from 1 species
AUCUAAGCAUGAAGCCCCCCUCAAGAUGAGAUUUCCCAUAGCGUAAGCUAGUAAGAUCCCUGAAAGAUGAUCAGGUUGAUAGGUUCGAGGUGGAAGCAUGGUGACAUGUGGAGCUGACGAAUACUAAUAGAUCGAGGACUUAACCAUAUAA